CAGUAGCCGCGGUAACACGAAGGGUGCAAACGUUAAUCGGAAUUACUGGGCGUAAAGCGUGCGUAGGCGGUUCGUUAAGUCUGUUGUGAAAGCCCCGGGCUCAACCUGGGAAUGGCAAUGGAUACUGGCGAGCUAGAGUGUGUCAGAGGAUGGUGGAAUUCCCGGUGUAGCGGUGAAAUGCGUAGAGAUCGGGAGGAACAUCAGUGGCGAAGGCGGCCAUCUGGGACAACACUGACGCUGAGGCACGAAAGCGUGGGGAGCAAACAGGAUUAGAUACCCGUGUAGUCCCUGUCUCUUAUAC
rnacentral:rRNA from 1 species